AACGAACGCUGGCGGCAUGCCUAACACAUGCAAGUCGAACGAGACCUUCGGGUCUAGUGGCGCACGGGUGCGUAACGCGUGGGAACCUGCCUUUAGGUUCGGAAUAACUCAGAGAAAUUUGAGCUAAUACCGGAUGAUGUCUUCGGACCAAAGAUUUAUCGCCUUUAGAUGGGCCCGCGUUGGAUUAGCUAGUUGGUGGGGUAAAGGCCUACCAAGGCGACGAUCCAUAGCUGGUCUGAGAGGAUGGUCAGCCACACUGGGACUGAGACACGGCCCAGACUCCUACGGGAGGCAGCAGUGGGGAAUAUUGGACAAUGGGCGAAAGCCUGAUCCAGCAAUGCCGCGUGAGUGAUGAAGGCCUUAGUGUUGUAAAGCUCUUUUACCCGAGAUGAUAAUGACAGUAUCGGGAGAAUAAGCUCCGGCUAACUCCGUG
rnacentral:rRNA from 1 species